rnacentral:rRNA from 1 species
UGCAAGUCGAGCGGUAACAGGUGUAGCAAUACAUGCUGACGAGCGGCGGACGGGUGAGCAAUGCUUGGGAAUCUGCCUAUUAGUGGGGGAUAACCCGGGGAAACUCGGGCUAAUACCGCAUACGAUCUACGGAUGAAAGCCGGGGACCGCAAGGCCUGGCGCUAAUAGAUGAGCCCAAGUCGGAUUAGCUAGUUGGUGAGGUAACGGCUCACCAAGGCGACGAUCCGUAGCUGGUUUGAGAGAACGACCAGCCACACCGGAACUGAGACACGGUCCGGACUCCUACGGGAGGCAGCAGUGGGGAAUAUUGGACAAUGGGCGAAAGCCUGAUCCAGCGACGCCGCGUGGGUGAAGAAGGCCUGCGGGUUGUAAAGCCCUUUCGGUUGGGAAGAAAAGUAUUGACCUAACACGUCAGUACCUUGACGUAACCAACAAAAGAAGCACCGGCUAACUCUGUGCCAGCAGCCGCGGUAAUACAGAGGGUGCAAGCGUUAAUCGGAAUUACUGGGCGUAAAGCGCACGUAGGCGGCUUGAUAAGUCGAGUGUGAAAUCCCCGGGCUUAACCUGGGACCUGCAUUCGAAACUGUCUUGCUAGAGUAUGGGAGAGGGAAGUGGAAUUUCAGGUGUAGCGGUGAAAUGCGUAGAUAUCUGAAGGAACAUCAGUGGCGAAAGCGACUUCCUGGACCAAUACUGACGCUCAGGUGCGAAAGCGUGGGGAGCAAACAGGAUUAGAUACCCUGGUAGUCCA